UUGUUGUGAUGUUGUGCUUUUACUCACUGUGCCACUGAGUUUUUUCCAAGAAAUUUUUUCGUAUUUCUUGUGAUGUGUGUUUUCCUGUUUGUUAAAACUUCUUGACUGCUGCUUGAGUUUAGGAUUAUUUUCCGGCAUCUGCAAGUACUGCUCUCUUUCAAAUCAUAUUCUAGCUAAUGUGUUUGCAGUGAACCAUCUGUCGAUAAUGUCUAUGGUGUAUGUGCAUCUUCAUCACUGUUUCUUAAGGUCAUAAUUUUUCUUCCAUGACAAGAUAUCUUAAAGCUAUUAGAUAGCUACUGAAAGCAUAUCAAAUUGUGAACGCUGAUCGGUACGGAGAAUAUGGAGUUUUUGCAGGUUGAGAGUUAUGGUUGUUGCUGAAUUAAAGCCAAACAAGCAACACUACUGAAAUGUGAAAGAGAAGGAAAUAGUGGGUGGUAGAAGCAGAAUCCUCGAAGCUUUCAUUAGUGCAAUACCUAUGUUUCAAAUUCUUAUUUUCUUAAGUUGUUAUUUGCAAUGUUUUUGUUUCUUAAAUAGGAGUAGUAUAAUCUUAUAAGUACUCUAAUUUUCAACACUUCUUCUAUUUAGUAUAUUUGUUUCUUGAAUGUCUAAUUUUCUUCUAUCAAGUUCAGUUUUGAAGGGUUCAAAUGAUGUUAUUUCCUUCAAAAGAUACUUGUAUUAGUUUCCUACUGCAAAAGGCCAUGUCCAUUAUCCAAUGUAAACCUUCAGAUAGUAAGAUUGAAAAGUCGUUUCAUCUGGAUGAUGCUAAAGGUUCAUAUUUCAAUUUUUGGAAUUUUAAGCUAAACUCUCGGAAAAAGGAAAACAGAAGUCUAUAUUGGAGAUGGAUGGCGUAAAUUCAUUGCUGAUAAUUGCUUAAAGAAGGGAGAUCGUGUAAUGUUUGAGGUUGUCACUAAUGGAGAAACACCAAUAUGGAAAUUUCAAGUUAUUACUGAUGGAGAAACUCCAAUCAGUGAUCAAGGCAGGUAAUAUUUCUGGAGAGAAUGCAAGCAUCCUUCGAGAGGGUGACUGAACAAUGAAGCAAUUGGUAGAAAAAAGAAAAAUUAGAGCAAUUGAAUAUCUCUCUCUCUCUCUCUCUGGAAAAGAAAUUUUACAUUAAACAAUACUAAUGUGAAGGUGCUGUGUUUUGUCCAUUGGAUCAUGAAGAGUGUGAUAUAUUCAUGUAUUAACUAGCUAAAAAAUUGCUAAUGGGGCAAAAAGUUCAACUGAAAUUGGGUUGUUUUCAGUUCA